rnacentral:rRNA from 1 species
UAGCCCAGAGAAAUUUGGAUUAAUACCGCAUACGCCCUACGGGGAAAGCAGGGGCUCUUCGGACCUUGCGCUAUCAGAUGAGUCUGCGUCGGAUUAGCUUGUUGGUGAGGUAAUGGCUCACCAAGGCGACGAUCCGUAGCUGGUCUGAGAGGAUGAUCAGCCACACUGGAACUGAGACACGGUCCAGACUCCUACGGGAGGCAGCAGUGGGGAAUAUUGCACAAUGGGCGCAAGUGAUGUAGCCAUGCCGCGUGUGUGAAGAAGGCCUUAGGGUUGUAAAGCACUUUCAGCAGUGAGGAAAGGUUAGUAGUUAAUACCUGCUAGCUGUGACGUUAACUGCAGAAGAAGGACCGGCUAACUCCGUGCCAGCAGCCGCGGUAAUACGGAGGGUCCAAGCGUUAAUCGGAAUUACUGGGCGUAAAGCGCGCGUAGGGGUUUGUUAAGUCAGAUGUGAAAGCCCAGGGCUCAACCUUGGAACUGCACCUGAUACUGGCAAACUAGAGUACAGAAGAGGGUGGUGGAAUUUCCUGUGUAGCGGUGAAAUGCGUAGAUAUAGGAAGGAACACCAGUGGCGAAGGGACCACCUGGUCUGAUACUGACGCUGAGGUGCGAAAGGUGGGGAGCAAACAGGAUUAGAUACCCUGGUAGUCCACGCCGUAAACGAUGUCUACUAGCCGUUGGGGUACUUGAUACUUUAGUGGCGCAGUAACGCACUAAGUAGACCGCCUGGGGAGUACGGCCGCAAGUUAAAACUCAAAUGAAUUGACGGGGGCCCGCACAAGCGUGGAGCAUGUGGUUUAAUUUCGAAGCAACGCGAAGAACCUUACCUACUCUUGAAAUCCUGCGAACUUAGUAGAGAUACUUUGGUGCCUUCGGAA